GCGAGAGGAGACAUGGCCCUGUGACUCCAGGCAGGCUCUAAGGAAGGAAUCCCAAGGCCCGCGGAAAGCUUCGGCGGGGUGAAGCGAGCCUUCUGGCCUUGGAGACCGCGAGCCAGGACCUGCCCCUGGUGGCUUCCGUCAUCGCACCCCGCGAGCCGGGGUGGGCAGGUUUGUGUUGAAAUAACAGAGCAGAAUUCCUUUCCACAUCGAGCUCCUUCUCUGCCCCUGGCUGUGGAUCAACUGCGAGGGGCUGUGCGGCUUUCCAGGGCGAGCACGCUGUGCUUCCCAGUCCAGAUGACAGAAG
rnacentral:lncRNA from 1 species